AUUGAACGCUGGCGGCAGGCCUGACACAUGCAAGUCGAGCGGAUGAGGAGAGCUUGCUCUCUGAUUCAGCGGCGGACGGGUGAGUAAUGCCUAGGAAUCUGCCUGGUAGUGGGGGACAACGUUUCGAAAGGAACGCUAAUACCGCAUACGUCCUACGGGAGAAAGUGGGGGAUCUUCGGACCUCACGCUAUCAGAUGAGCCUAGGUACGAUUAGCUAGUUGGUGAGGUAAAGGCUCACCCAGGCGACGAUCGUUAACUGGUCUGAGAGGAUGAUCAGUCACACUGGAACUGAGACACGGUCCAGACUCCUACGGGAGGCAGCAGUGGGGAAUAUUGGACAAUGGGCGAAAGCCUGAUCCAGCCAUGCCGCGUGUGUGAAGAAGGUCUUCGGAUUGUAAAGCACUUUAAGUUGGGAGGAAGGACAGUAAGUUAAUACCUUGCUGUUUUGACGUUACCGACAGAAUAAGCACCGGCUAACUUCGUGCCAGCAGCCGCAGUAAGAC
rnacentral:rRNA from 1 species